rnacentral:rRNA from 1 species
UGUGAUGCCCUUAGAUGUUCUGGGCUGCACGCGCGCUACACUGACAGACUCAACAAGUAUAUUCACCUUGGCCGAUGGGUCUGGGUAAUCUUUUGAAAGUCUGUCGUGCUGGGGAUAGAUCAUUGCAAUUAUUGGUCUUCAACGAGGAAUUCCUAGUAAGCGCAAUUCAUCAGAUUGCGCUGAUUACGUCCCUGCCCUUU